UACCGCAUACGCCCUACGGGGGAAAGCAGGGGAUCUUCGGACCUUGCGCUAAUAGAUGAGCCUAAGUCGGAUUAGCUAGUUGGUGGGGUAAAGGCCUACCAAGGCGACGAUCUGUAGCGGGUUUGAGAGGAUGAUCCGCCACACUGGGACUGAGACACGGCCCAGACUCCUACGGGAGGCAGCAGUGGGGAAUAUUGGACAAUGGGCGCAAGCCUGAUCCAGCCAUGCCGCGUGUGUGAAGAAGGCCUUAUGGUUGUAAAGCACUUUAAGCGAGGAGGAGGCUUACCUAGCUAAUAUCUAGGCUAAGUGGACGUUACUCGCAGAAUAAGCACCGGCUAACUCUGUGCCAGCAGCCGCGGUAAUACAGAGGGUGCAAGCGUUAAUCGGAAUUACUGGGCGUAAAGCGCGCGUAGGUGGCCAUUUAAGUCAAAUGUGAAAUCCCCGAGCUUAACUUGGGAAUUGCAUUCGAUACUGGAUGGCUAGAGUAUAGGAGAGGAAGGUAGAAUUCCAGGUGUAGCGGUGAAAUGCGUAGAGAUCUGGAGGAAUACCGAUGGCGAAGGCAGCCUUCUGGCCUAAUACUGACACUGAGGUGCGAAAGCAUGGGGAGCAAACAGGAUUAGAUACCCCUGGUAGUCCCAUGCCCGUAAACGAAUGUCUACUAGCCCGUUGGGUCCUUUGAGGACCUUAGUGGCGCAGCUAACGCGAUAAGUAGACCGCCUGGGGAGUACGGUCGCAAGACUAAAACUCAAAUGAAUUGACGGGGGCCCGCACAAGCGGUGGAGCAUGUGGUUUAAUUCGAUGCAACGCGAAGAACCUUACCUGGCCUUGACAUACUAAGAACUUUCUAGAGAUAGAUUGGUGCCUUCGGGAACUUAGAUACAGGUGCUGCAUGGCUGUCGUCAGCUCGUGUCGUGAGAUGUUGGGUUAAGUCCCGCAACGAGCGCAACCCUUUUCCUUACUUGCCAGCAUUUCGGAUGGGAACUUUAAGGAUACUGCCAGUGACAAACUGGAGGAAGGCGGGGACGACGUCAAGUCAUCAUGGCCCUUACGGCCAGGGCUACACACGUGCUACAAUGGUCGGUACAGAGGGUUGCUACACAGCGAUGUGAUGCUAAUCUCAAAAAGCCGAUCGUAGUCCGGAUUGGAGUCUGCAACUCGACUCCAUGAAGUCGGAAUCGCUAGU
rnacentral:rRNA from 1 species